rnacentral:lncRNA from 1 species
UUUUUAAAUAAUAUUUGUAUCUUUUGAACAUUUUAUACAUAAGUUUAUACCAUGUAUAUAGAUUGUAUAUAUCCACCACUAUCUUUAACUGAUUCCUCCUAUGGUCUCACAACUUAUCUCCCUCACAACUUUGUCUUUUUUAUCAUUAUUAUAAAACACUGUGUCCAACUAGUGCAUUUAUGUGCAUGAAUAUACAGCAAUACCUUAGUAUAAGCAAACGACUAGCAGCCAUAUCCACAAAGGAAGUAACUCUGCCUUCCAUAGUACAAAUAGUUCUUCCACUUGUGGUUAGGCCUCAGGUUUCCAUCCCUUGUCCAUGCAGAAUUCUAACUGGUUUUAUCUCUUGCAGGUUUUGUGUUGGCCACCCUAGCUGCUGGGAGCUGAUGUGUUCAACAGCCAUGUCCCAUUCAGAAGUCUGCAUUUUACAGAUCUUCUCCCCAUCUGAUGACUUUUACAUUGUUUCUGCUUCCUCUUCUGCAAAGUUCCCUGAGAUUUAGAAUGAGGGAAGUUGAUAUAGGUUGACAUAGAUACACAGCUGGGCACUCAUUUUUUUUACACUCAGCACUUUGAACAGUUAGGGAGCUCUGUGUUAACCACUUUCCACUGCAAAAGAAGCUUCCCUGACCACGUCUGAAGUCUAUGAUCCACUCUUUGGGGCUUUUGACAAGGUUUACAAUACCAGACCUAAGAUCCCUCCCGUGAAACCAGCUUUAUAUCUAAUGUAAUCAAGAAGCAGUUGAUUACCUCCCUGUCCUGCCACUUUGACACCAGUGUUUACAUCUUGACAGCAUGUAAGUGCUAUAGCAUGCAGGAUCCAGAGAUGGGUAAACCACUGAUGUUUUUUAUCCGCAGUAGCCUUCAUUGUAUCUUCUGGCACUCUGUAAUCCCUGUUCUACUGUGUUGUGCAAGAGUUGAAAUGAGCGCAAAUGUGCUUCUUCAACCCUGCACAGGAAGACUUAGUGACAAGGCUCACAUGGCAACUCUGUCUGCCUACAUUUCAAAGAAUUUUCCUCAUCUCCUAGCCCUGCCUAGACUUCCUUCCUCUAUUGGCUAUUGGCCAAACAGUGUUUUAUUCAUCAACCAAUAAGAGAAACAUAUACACAAAAGAACAUCCCCAAUCACCCACCCAAUUUUAUUGAGCGACUACUGAAGCUGAUGGUCACAAGAAACACUCACCUAAUGAUACCAACAUGUAUGAACCAAAAGCACACACUAUUAGUGCUGAAUUAAACCUUAAACUAGUAAAAGAAUUUUGUGUUUAUCUCUUCUUGCUGAAGCUACCCAUGUAUCUCACAUAGUGUCAAGAAAAACUGCAGGGCAAACAAUAGAAUGGUGGAGCAGAGGUGAGGUAGGAUUGAUUUGGGAGGAAGAGAAUAACAGUUACCUGGGCUGAAGACAAUGAGUCUAAAGUAAGGGCUGAGACACCCAGCCGGCACUACUGUAUGUUCCUGAAAUAGAAGCAGGAGAGUGUGCUUCCUGCGACACGAAACAGAACAAAAACACUAUGGGCAGAAGCUUCAAGGACUUUAAGAAGAGGCAAGUGCUC